AUAUUUGGUAUAGCUUUAUAGAGAUGUGUAUAAGUAGUAACCCUAUUCCUCUCAAGCUUUUGCGCGGCGUUCUCUUAAACUCAACCUAAUUAAGGCAAGAAAAGAAAAACCGGCUUCUCUAAGGAAACGCGUGAUCAUGGCGACUCCGGCUGAUUCUGAGGCUGUCAAGUCUCUCAACAACUCCAAGGGAAAGAAGAAGUUUGUGUUCAAGAAUUUCUCUCAAAGAAUCAGUGACAUUGACAUCCAACUCUAUAGGAGCCUGGAUAAGAUGAAGGCUGACCUUCAUUCGAGGAACAAGAGAAGCGCGAGUGAUUAAAGAACUAUUAGCUCUCGAGGCCUCCAAGGACGACCAUGAUGAUGCGUUCAUGUUUAUUAUGGGAACAAGACCUCAGUAGAACAAGCUUUAAAGUUUUGGUGCUUCUUUUUCUUUUUAAGGUUUAAACUAGUUUUGGCUUUAGAUUUUAUGACUUAUUGUAC